GCUGGCGGCGUGCCUAAUACAUGCAAGUCGAGCGAACGGACGAGAAGCUUGCUUCUCUGAUGUUAGCGGCGGACGGGUGAGUAACACGUGGAUAACCUACCUAUAAGACUGGGAUAACUUCGGGAAACCGGAGCUAAUACCGGAUAAUAUUUUGAACCGCAUGGUUCAAAAGUGAAAGACGGUCUUGCUGUCACUUAUAGAUGGAUCCGCGCUGCAUUAGCUAGUUGGUAAGGUAACGGCUUACCAAGGCAACGAUGCAUAGCCGACCUGAGAGGGUGAUCGGCCACACUGGAACUGAGACACGGUCCAGACUCCUACGGGAGGCAGCAGUGGGGAAUCUUCCGCAAUGGGCGAAAGCCUGACGGAGCAACGCCGCGUGAGUGAUGAAGGUCUUCGGAUCGUAAAACUCUGUUAUUAGGGAAGAACAUAUGUGUAAGUAACUGUGCACAUCUUGACGGUACCUAAUCAGAAAGCCACGGCUAACUACGUGCCAGCAGCCGCGGUAAUACGUAGGUGGCAAGCGUUAUCCGGAAUUAUUGGGCGUAAAGCGCGCGUAGGCGGUUUUUUAAGUCUGAUGUGAAAGCCCACGGCUCAACCGUGGAGGGUCAUUGGAAACUGGAAAACUUGAGUGCAGAAGAGGAAAGUGGAAUUCCAUGUGUAGCGGUGAAAUGCGCAGAGAUAUGGAGGAACACCAGUGGCGAAGGCGACUUUCUGGUCUGUAACUGACGCUGAUGUGCGAAAGC
rnacentral:rRNA from 1 species